UUUUCAGGUUCUUCUCCGCAAAUCACUACAAGAAAGAGCUUACUGGUCCUGAUGUUUGGCCUCACGCUUUUAAAGGAUACCUAUACCUCUACGAGUUGAAGACUAGUCUCAGGUUUGUUGAAGAAGCUGUGCCAGAAGCUUGAAGGACGCCUAGUCGGACGUUCAAAGUUUUGUAAUUAAGAUGUACAUACGCACAUAUAUUUGUAAUUAUCUGGUAUCCUCUCUUGGAGAAGAAUGAUAUAAGACAGAAAGGCGGCACAUGGUUACAGCUUUAUUUGUUUCGCCCGCAUUCCUUUAAAAGGAAACCCCACAAUUAUUGUGGCUUUCCUUCGUUGUUAUCGUCCAUUUACUGUGAUGAACUAUGUUUUUUGUUGAAGCCCAGUACAUGUUUAACAGCCCCGCAUUGUGUAGUCAACAUUCGUUCAAAUACCAAAGACAAGAUAACUACUUCCUUUUUAUGGCUGCUUAGCUGUGUGGACUACUCUAUGCUAACCCGAAGCAGAGACCAAGAGCGCAUACCAAAGAAGAAUGCAACGGUUGUUUCUACAGGCACGUAUCUCUUGGAGCACAUCGGUCGACUGUUUUGGCGUAUGGACAUGUGGACAAAGCAUGCAGUGCCGAUUUUGAAGGCUGGGCUGGCUCUGGGAACUACCGCAAUCGCGACAAACAAAUAAUAAAUAUUUUUAUGAAACCAA
rnacentral:lncRNA from 1 species